GACGAACGCUGGCGGCGCGCUUAACACAUGCAAGUCGAACGGAAAGGCCUGCUUUCCCUUGUGCAUUGCGGGUACUCGAGUGGCUAACGGGUGAGUAAAACGCGAGUGAUCUACCCCCAACUUAGGUAUAAGCCUGGGAAACUGGGUCUAAUUCCCGAUAGGACUGCAGGGUGGUGCAGGGGGUGGAAAACGAUCUUCUAGUGGUAGAGGAUGAGCCCGCGGCCUAUCAGCUUGUUGGUGGGGUAAUGGCCUACCAAGGCGGCGACCGGUAGUCGGCGUGUGAGCGUCGACGGCGGCAUUGGGACAGGGUUCAGGCCCAGACUGCAGCGGGAGGUAGGAGAGCGGAAGAUUGCACAGUGGGCGGAAGGCUGAUGCAGCGAGGCAGCGAGGAGGAUGUUGGGCUCCGGGUUGUAAGCUCCUUGCGAACGCCAGGUAGGUACGUGGUUGGAAGCGUGGUGACGGUAGUUGUAGAGGAAGCACCGGCUAACUACGUG
rnacentral:rRNA from 1 species